rnacentral:rRNA from 1 species
ACACUGCAAGUCGAACGAUGAAAGCAGGAGCUUGCUUUUGCUGGAUUAGUGGCGAACGGGUGAGUAACACGUGAAUAACCUGCCCUUGACUCUGGGAUAAGCGUUGGAAACGACGUCUAAUACCGGAUACGAGCUAGGACCGCAUGGUCACUAGUUGGAAAGAAUUUCGGUCAAGGAUGGACUCGCGGCCUAUCAGCUAGUUGGUGAGGUAACGGCCCACCAAGGCGACGACGGGUAGCCGGCCUGAGAGGAUGAUCAGCCACACUGGGACUGAGACACGGCCCAGACUCCUACGGGAGGCAGCAGUGGGGAAUUUUCCGCAAUGGGCGAAAGCCUGACGGAGCAACGCCGCGUGAGGGAUGAAGGCCUCUGGGCUGUAAACCUCUUUUAUCAAGGAAGAAGAUCUGACGGUACUUGAUGAAUAAGCCACGGCUAAUUCCGUGCCAGCAGCCGCGGUAAUACGGGAGUGGCAAGCGUUAUCCGGAAUUAUUGGGCGUAAAAGCGUCCGCAGGCGGUCUGUCAAGUCUGCUGUUAAAGCGUGGAGCUUAACUCCAUUUCGGCAGUGGAAACUGACAGACUAGA